CCACACUACACCGCGGCAACUAAGCGGGAAACCAACAAAAGAAAGAUGGCUGCCGAUCUCCACGGACAGGUUGACACAUCGGCCGGGAUGCUGCGAUGCGUUCAGGCAGCUCUGCACACCUUGAUGCCUCACGGGGUGCAAUUACCGGUCCUUACGUGCCAUCCAGGAGGCGUGGGUGAGUUAUACAGAAUCCCUGAAAGGAUGUGGGUGGCUGCAGUGCAGGCUGCACUUUGGACAAAGGAUGCAAAAUUGGCAGCCACAUCUGAGGGGUGAGGCUCCUGCAGGACUCUCUUCUCCAAUUGGGCAUAGCGCCGCAGCAUGUCAUUGUACACCUGUAAUGGAUUCAGACGGAGAGAAAAGGUCACGUGCAGGAACUGAAGUGAGUGGCCAUGUGACCUCAAAACAGCAACUAAAAGCCAAUCAGCACUUUGUUUCCCAUCUUUAACACUGCAUCUUUUCCUAGUCCCUACUUUCCUGUGUGUGUGUGUGUGUACGCACGCAUACCUGUUGUGCAGUAGGCUGUGGUGUGGCAACAAGUCGUGCUUCCGGAGCUUUCUUCAGCACAUCGAAGAAGGAAAGUCCUGAUUGGUCAACGACGCCUGAAAGAACAUCACCCAAUCAGAGAGAGUUCAUCGAUUGUCAUGCAGAGAUGAUGGUUAGCAUUUAAUAAGCCCAGCAGGCAGUGACAUGUGGUGAGGUUCAUGACUGGGGAGGGUCUGCCCUUACUGUAAAAUCAUAUAUAAACAGCUCAAUAGAAAAGGAGUUUUCAUAAUGUUAUGACGUUUGUUUCCCCCGUCUCCCCUGACCACACGUCACUGUUUGCAGGUCUGUCAUUGCAGUAUGUUAGCAAGCUCGCCAUGGUUAGCAUUAGCAUACCGUGCAUUGCUCUGUAGGCGGAGCCAAGACAGGCCGAGUUGGACACAUCAAUGGUGUACACUGGAGCGUUGAACACGUCUGACAACACCUGGCACACACAAAUCCACGAUAGACAAAUACAUGCAUGCUAGAAGCGUGUUAUGUUUCACCUGCAAGAUGUCUUUGUUACACGAUGCUCCUCCCGUUGCCAAAACUCGACUUCCUGGAACUUAAAGAAGAUGAGAUUGAAAGCGAGAUGUAGUGUUUGUGUGUGAUUGUGCUUUACUUACUGUGCUUGUGCUUUUUACUUACUGAUGGAGUAACCAAGGAGCUCUGCAUGGAGCCUCCGUGACAGGAACUGACCCUCCACCAGCGCUCGCACCUCCGCCUGAGCACUCAAUGACGACACCUGGAGGACACACAAGUACUCAGCUGCAUCUGUGUGUGUCUGUGUCUGCACAGAGGUGCCCAACCUUGUUGUCAUCCGCAUCAAAGAUAUGAAUUCCAACAGCACGGGGCAGAAUCUCCAGGACAUCAAAAUAAAAGCCUGGAAGAAGCCAACAGGAAGUCAGAGGAAAAAGGAAGGCGGGAAGAAGGCAUAGCUCACCAAUGUAGCCAUCGUUUCCGAGAGGAGUCUCUCUCAAGGCAGCUGAGAAGACUUCCCAUGAUCCUUCAGCACAGCGGUUCCUCACGCGUUCUCUGGUCAAUGAUCCGUUCUUGAAGCUGAAAACACACACACGUCACAUUGCCAGGAGAGGAUAAAAUAAAAGCACCUACCAUAACAAGGCCAUGAAAUGUCUCCAGUCGACAGGGUUGAUCAACACGUGACCCUCGAGGGCGGGGCGAGGAUGCUGCAGCCACACAAACACUGUGUCGCUAGUUCCCAGGCUCACCUACACACACACCAUGUCAUGUGAGAAGACACUCAGUUGUGUUACACAAGGUGCACUUACAGCAAUGUCGCCUUGCUGGAGUCGCAUUCCCGCCAAAGAUGCUGCCACGACAUAAUCAUCAUCAACAUUGACAGGACAACCUCAGGAGGAUGUACUGUACCUGGGUUGUCUCCAGUGAAGGCCACCACUCUGCAUGAGUUGGAAAAACCAAACCUGUGCACCCAGUAGGAGGAAACGGGACCCUGCCAGGAAGGGGGGGGGUUGAAGCAGGUUAAAGGCCACAAGGGGUGACUCGGUAUGCCGAGUGUGUACCUCACCAGCACUGACGCCGAGGGAAGCGGCAUCCCAAGCAGACGGUCCAGGUGUGGAGCGGUAGCCUCCAUGCAGACCUCAGACCAUUUUUUGGUCCUGAUGUUCAAAAGGUUCAUGCCAGACCCUAAAGAACAAAUCCAUUCACUGACAUGAUUAAAAUCACAUUUUCUUAAUCUACUGACCGUCACUGUAGUCAAUGGCGGCGUAAGCACCCAGGAAGAGAGACGCUGCAAAGCUGCUGACCAAUGAGAUCCUCUGAAACACAUACAGCCAUCAAGCCAGGCUGAAGUCAAGGUCGUGGGUGCAAGGGCUGUAGGUCACCAGCUGACCUCGGUGUCCUGGAAGUCUUGUGGUCGCUCCUGACACAUUUUGGCGAUCUGAUUUCCAGUGAAACGCUAAAGAAGCACACAAAAAUAAUGAAAAGUACUUUCACCAUCGAACCAUACGUGUUUGCGUGUGCCUGUGCUAGCUACCUCAUAAGCCCUGGAGCCUGUGAGAUCAGCCAGCUUCGCAGCACCCCCUGCUGCCUCCUGCAGGCGUUCACACUGUGGCCCAGUGCUGGAGUCCAUCCACACUGGAGAGUCACCUACAGAGAAACUGUCCUGAAAGACAUCACAUGACACACCUGUGCAUGUGACUGCACAUGUGCUGACAUAAACACACAGGUGAACUCACCUGGAGCUGCUGGUGGAGACUGAAGGCGGGGUCGAGCUGCUCAAGGGUCUGAGAAGCUCCCGUCCUCCAGUAGACGCUGCCAUGUUGCUGAGAGGGCAGAGGAACAUCACCCAUAAUGCACUUGACAGCCAGCUAGGUAGAAGAAGAUAGGUCACCUGACCGCUGCCUGACAGCGCUUGCACACUGGAGAAGUCAAAGCCUUCUUUUUGCAUCUUCUCCAAGAGGAGGUCCAACGCCUGGAGACACAUCAACAUCAGGAGCCCACUUGGAACAUCACAUACGACAAGAUAAUCUUCAUGUGGUCCUACCUUCACCCACAUGAGAACAGGCGAUGUGAUCCUCAGGCCAUCAGCUGCAACGUGGACACCCCCCUCGGUCCUGAACCACCAAAAUGAAAGUUAGUCUUCUCCUGCAUCUACUUGUUGUCAACUACCUUGAUGGAGGUCAACAUUUGUGGAAACAAUUACACAACUUGAUUCAAACUACAUAAAUGGAGGUCAACCUGCUGAGAACUUCACGUAGACUACUGUAAACUUGCAGCUAACUUUUACACAAUCUCAUGUAAAACCACCAAACUUUGCAUCCCGUCAGCUUGCUGUAACCUUUACAGAAACGAGUCCAAAGAGACAUUUAUAUGUAAACAAGUAUCCAAAUGCACUACCCAAACAAUCUAACUUUGCACAAACUACUGUCAAGCAGGGAACCUGAGAGGUGAUGGUGUGGUUGGGUGCUGCUGGUACCUGAAGUCGGGUAGUUGGGAGUCAAAGUGGACAUGGUUCUGAUGGAUCACGUCCAAGUCUUCAUUGAUGGCGACCACUUUGAGCUGCACAAACAAGUCCACCAGAGGAUGUCCCACUAACCGAACACCUGAUGUUGGUGUGUGUGUGUCUACUGUACAUUUGGAGGCAGCUUGGCGUAGCUCCUGAGUCGGCUCCAGACCUCCGACUGGAAGCUGCUGUCAGGGAACACCUCGGUGACCAGACCUAGCUGACACGCCUGGACCGCCGUUAGCUUCUUGUUGAACAGCAACAUCUCACUUGCCUACACACACACACACACACACACACACAUUUCAACCACCUGUAUGUUUAUACAUGCGAGUGUGCUGCACGUGCACGUACCUUACCGGGUCCCAUAAGGCGAGGGAAGGUGUAAGAUGAGCAGCCUUCUGGACUCUGACCAAGCUGGCUGAAAGGAGUGUGGAAGGUGGCCUACAUAAAACACAAUAUUACUGCAGUGCAACCUCAAUAACAGUCAAUAUGAAGUACUGCGUGUGCGUACACUCUCCGUGGCGUAGACCAGGUCAAACAUUCCCAAAAUAGUGACGGAGAUUCCCACAGCUGGACCAUUCACCACGGCAACCAGAGGCUUGGGGAAGUCUAUGUAGGCUUUCACGUACCUCCUGUCCGGGGCGACACAGGGCAAAGGUCGUUCCUCACAAGUCAUGUGAUCAAACCCAUCGUUGAGUGGGUGGUCACCUGAGCAGCUCUCCGCCUGCUUUGGCCAUCUCUUCCACACCUCCUUCAGGGAUCUUAGUGAAGUUGCUAAGGUCGUUUCCACUGCAGUAGAAGUCCCCGGCACCUGUGUGUGUGUGUGUGUGUGUGUGUGUGUGUGUGUGUGUGUGGACAAACACACGUGUGGCUAUCACUAUCACGUGUGGCAGGACAAUUAGCUGUGUGUGUGUUACCAGUGAAGACGGUGAGGACACAGGUAUCUCUAGCCGCUUGCUGCAGAGCAUCAAUGAUCUCCUCGUACAUCUAGAACACACCACUCAUGAUGAGGGCCAUGAUUAUUUGUAACCAGGACAUGAAAUGGUCGCUCACCUCCGUGGUGAUGGCGUUCUUCUUAGCAGGUCUGUUGAGCUUGAUGGUGGUGAUGUCAUCUUCCGUGCUGACCAGCAGGGUGUUGUAGACGUGGUCGCUUGCAGCCGGCUGGGCCGAUACUUCCUGGGCAGAGCUUCCACCCUCCGCUUCCACCAAUGAGCCAAUCAGGUUGCAGUACUGUUUCCGGGCCUCCUCCUGUCAAGAAUAUCGCCAACACUUGCUGUCAUUUCCUGUCAAAUAUUUAUUUUUAUCUUUUGGCUUUUGUGCAUCUUCGACAGACAGGAAGUUAUGAAAUAAAAGCACAGUUGACCUGUGAUAUGGAGCCCAGAGAUUUCCACGAGUCCCACUUGGCUUUGUUGACAAAGUCCAGCAUUCCAGGUUUGGGGGUGUCACAUGGUCCAUGUGUGGCCUGUCACAUGACCCAAACAAGAAGACAUAUCAGCUUAUCAGGAGUCAAAUUGCAUGCUGAGAACACAAAUUCAUACACGUCGGCAGGUGUCCUUGCCCCUCACGGCCCCGCCCCACUGUUUGGGAAGCACUGAUGUGGAUACCGAUAUAGUCCUAUGAUAUUGACAUAUGAUAUAGUCAUAUGAUAUUGUCAUGUUGUCACCACCUGCUUGAAGAGAGCGUAGAUCUUCAGUUUGAGCGCAUUUCCGGGAUCCUUCUUCAAUGUGGACAGUUUGUUCUUGGCCUCCUCAAACUGCUCCACAGUCGCACCUGAAGGCAAAACAUCCAUAUUAGCAUUAAUGCUAAUGUGGGAGGAGCGCCAACCUGCCACUCACCCAUCACGGAUGUUUGGUGGAACUUGAAAGCAGGAACGCUGGAGAAACGGAACCACCUGAUGACAACAACAAAUGCAAGUCACUCACGGGGCAAAGGUCCAAAUGGUGCUUAUGUAAACACUAUUGGGGAUCGGCCAUAUUUGUAGUCUUGAACUUGUGCAUGUUUG